rnacentral:rRNA from 1 species
AACGAACGCUGGCGGCAGGCUUAACACAUGCAAGUCGAACGCCCCGCAAGGGGAGUGGCAGACGGGUGAGUAACGCGUGGGAACGUGCCCUUCGCUUCGGAAUAGCCCCGGGAAACUGGGAGUAAUACCGGAUACGCCGUAUUGGGAAAGAUUUGUCGGCGAAGGAUCGGCCCGCGUUGGAUUAGCUAGUUGGAGGUGUAAUGGACCCCCAAGGCUACGAUCCAUAGCUGGUCUGAGAGGAUGAUCAGCCACACUGGGACUGAGACACGGUCCAGCCUCCUACGGGAGGCAGCAGUGGGGAAUCUUGGACAAUGGGCGCAAGCCUGAUCCAGCCAUGCCGCGUGAGUGAAGAAGGCCUUAGGGUUGUAAAACUCUUUCGCCGGAGAAGAUAAUGACGGUAUCCGGAGAAGAAGCCCCGGCUAACUUCGUGCCAGCCGCCGCAGUAAGAC